GUGCUCGCUUCGGCAGCACAUACACUAAAUUUGGAACGAUACAGAGAAGAUUAGCAUGGCCCCUGCACAAGGAUGACAAGCAAAAUCCUGAAGCGUUCCAUAUUAAA